UUUUAAGGUGUAAUACUCAAAUAAAAGAUAGCACACUACUCUUGCAUUCACACUGACAUCCUCCUAGAGAAUCGAACGGACGCAGAGAGCAAUCAUCCAAACGUGAAAGUAUGGCUUCCAAAACUCAAAUCCUACUACUACUAGUAGCUGUAAUAAUAACAAAUAUCAGCACGUCAGGCACUACAGAUGCACCAAGCACCACGGGCAUGCCAGACAACAUGAGCACAUCAGGCAUCCCGGGCACACCAGGCAACACAAGUGCAUCAGGUAUCACGGGCACAUCAGGCACCACAGAUAUGUCAAGCAUCACCACCACAUCAACCACCACCGGCAAAUCGAGCACCAGCACAACCACCACCACCACCGGAAAAUCAAGCAGCAUCACAAUAACCACUGCUUCUGUUGCAGCAUCUCUUUUACCAAUGGGACUACCUGGACUUCUGUUCUACACUACUAUGGUUCUCAAAAUCUUUAAGCUGAUCUGAUUAUCAUCUCACUUAGUUUGUAACUAAAACCUACAGGGACAGGGCCCUGCGCAAGUUGCUAACACUUUAAUGUCAGACUGUCAGAUUAAUUAUACUUAUGUUCGGAUAAAUACCUGAUUGCUUUAAAAAUCUAGAAAAUAUGAAGACUUCAAAUGAAGAAUAAAGAUGAAAUGCCUUUGUUGACUUUGCCAAAAUUGCUAAACCACAUUACACAUGUAUGACAGUUAAAGAUGAGUGUUUGCACAUAUUUAUCAAAAAGUGUAUUUAUUUGUCAUUUAUAUUAAAUAUGACAUACUACAAACUUGCACAUCAAUAAUAAACCAAUAUUCUGCA